GCCGAGUCUUGUUAUUUAUCAUAAGCAAUUUCCCCAGUGAAGGCACUCAAACGAUACUCCAGAUCUUUUGCUCGUCUCCUUUCUGCAAGCUCCAUCUGCAGCUGUUUUACCUUGCACAGAGAAAAAGAAAAAUCAGUUCUUCACCUCCUCCAUCUCCUGAGCCGCUGCCUUUGCCUCCUCCGCAGAUGAGCCUCGGGGUCUUCUGCGUCUCUGCUGCAUCAUCUUAACAUGAGUCCUGAUGCGGUGCUCAAGCUCUCGGUCCCUUGCCUCCCUUAGGACACAAACACAACAGACAACAACAUAAAUGAACACACACCUCACUGACUGCUCAUCUUGGAGUGGAGGAAUUAACGUGAUUAACAUGUAUUUUCCUCUCCUGCAUGAUCUUGGCCUGGUUUCUCCACUCCUGCAACAGCUCCUCAUUUCUGAGACACACACCCCAGAGAGAUGGAAUAAAUCUGCUUGGCUCUGUCCCUUUUCCUUAAAAGAGGAGCUUGGGUUGGUUGAGGGUAAGGGGAAGACUUGCCAGAGUUUUCACUGUAAUUGCAGUUCACUUCAUAGCCUCUUAGAGGGCUCUAAAAAUUACAAACUGCUCCUUUAAAAAUAAGGAAUA